rnacentral:rRNA from 1 species
UUGCACGCUGGCGGCAGGCCUAACACCUGCAAGUCGCGCGGAUGAAGGGAGCUUGCUCCUGGAUUCAGCGGCGGACGGGUGAGUAAUGCCUAGGAAUCUGCCUGGUAGUGGGGGAUAACGUCCGGAAACGGGCGCUAAUACCGCAUACGUCCUGAGGGAGAAAGUGGGGGAUCUUCGGACCUCACGCUAUCAGAUGAGCCUAGGUCGGAUUAGCUAGUUGGUGGGGUAAAGGCCUACCAAGGCGACGAUCCGUAACUGGUCUGAGAGGAUGAUCAGUCACACUGGAACUGAGACACGGUCCAGACUCCUACGGGAGGCAGCAGUGGGGAAUAUUGGACAAUGGGCGAAAGCCUGAUCCAGCCAUGCCGCGUGUGUGAAGAAGGUCUUCGGAUUGUAAAGCACUUUAAGUUGGGAGGAAGGGCAGUAAGUUAAUACCUUGCUGUUUUGACGUUACCAACAGAAUAAGCACCGGCUAACUUCGUG